GACGAACCGUGCGAACGUUAUUCGGAAUCACUGGGCUUAAAGGGCGCGUAGGCGGGCCAGCCAGUCUGUGGUGAAAGCCUCCAGCUUAACUGGAGAAGUGCCGUGGAUACUGCUGGCCUCGAGGAGGAUAGGGGCAUCUGGAACGGUCGGUGGAGCGGUGAAAUGCGUUGAUAUCGACCGGAACUCCGGUGGCGAAGGCGAGGUGCUGGGUCCUUUCUGACGCUGAUGCGCGAAAGCCAGGGGAGCAAACGGG
rnacentral:rRNA from 1 species